AAGGAUAAAGACCAUUAUUUGGGUAACACACUAAAGAUGAACUGUUCUCCAGGCUUAGUAUCUGUGAUACUCUUACUGCUUGGAAGAACCCAUGGAAAUUCAGUGACCCAGAUGGAAGGACCAGUGACUCUCUCAGAAGAGGCCUUCCUGACUAUAAACUGCACGUACACAGCCACAGGAUACCCUACCCUUUUCUGGUAUGUCCAAUAUCCUGGAGAAGGUCCACAGCUCCUCCUGAAAGCCACGAAGGCUGAUGACAAGGGAAGCAACAAAGGUUUUGAAGCCACAUACCGUAAAGAAACCACUUCUUUCCACUUGGAGAAAGACUCAGUUCAAGAGUCAGACUCAGCGGUGUACUUCUGUGCUCUGAGUGACACAGUGACAGGGACUGCAGGGGGAGCUGAGCACAAACUCUGAGCAGCACGGGGGGCCUGGCUGCUGAGUGUCAGCCACUGUGAUCCACUCUGGUUCCAACACAGUCUGUGGUUGUUUGUGCCUCAGUUUCUCUGAUUGAUGCAGUAGUCAUACACAUGGCCAGAGGAGAAAAACAAGAAAUGAACAACCCCAAACCCAGCUCUUGGUUAGUGAAAUUAAAAACAGACAUUGACACCAAGUAGUUCCUCAUCCAGUGCCAAAGUAAUUUCAAGGUUAAACCACAGAAACAAUGAAGCUGUCUCUGUGAUCAUCCUUGCAGACAAAGUUCAA